GACGAACGCUGGCGGCGUGCUUAACACAUGCAAGUCGAACGAUGAAGCUGGAGCUUGCUCUGGCGGAUUAGUGGCGAACGGGUGAGUAACACGUGAGAAAUCUGCCCUUGACUCUGGGAUAACUGCGGGAAACUGUAGCUAAUACCGGAUACUUUCCCUGGUGGGCAUCCACUGGGGAAGCAAGAAUUUCGGUCAAGGAUGAUCUCGCGGCCUAUCAGCUUGUUGGUGAGGUAAUGGCUCACCAAGGCGACGACGGGUAGCCGGCCUGAGAGGGUGACCGGCCACGCUGGGACGGAGACACGGCCCAGACUCCUACGGGAGGCAGCAGUGGGGAAUAUUUCACAAUGGGCGCAAGCCUGAUGCAGCAACGCCGCGUGAGGGAUGAAGGCCUUCGGGUUGUAAACCUCUUUUAGCAGGGAAGAAGCGAAAGUGACGGUACCUGCAGAAAAAGCACCGGCUAACUACGUGCCAGCCGCCGCGGUAA
rnacentral:rRNA from 1 species